rnacentral:rRNA from 1 species
GACGAACGCUGGCGGCGUGCCUAAUACAUGCCAGUUGAGCGCUGAAGGUUGGUACUUGUACCGACUGGAUGAGCAGCGAACGGGUGAGUAACGCGUGGGGAAUCUGCCUUUGAGCGGGGGACAACAUUUGGAAACGAAUGCUAAUACCGCAUAAAAACUUUAAACACAAGUUUUAAGUUUGAAAGAUGCAAUUGCAUCACUCAAAGAUGAUCCCGCGUUGUAUUAGCUAGUUGGUGAGGUAAAGGCUCACCAAGGCGAUGAUACAUAGCCGACCUGAGAGGGUGAUCGGCCACAUUGGGACUGAGACACGGCCCACACUCCUACGGGAGGCAGCAGUAGGGAAUAUUCGGCAAUGGACGAAAGUCUGACCGAGCCACGCCGGGUGAGUGAAGAAGGUUUUCGGGUCGUAAAACUCUUUUGGUAGGGAAGAACGUUGGUGGGGGUGGAAAGCCCUUCAAGUGCGGGAAACAACCAAGAAAGGGGCGGUUACUUCCUG